GCGGUCCCGCACAUUACUGUACCGACCCAAUAGCAUGAGUAUAGUGAGUCCAGUCUCGUUGAAAGUUUUAUUGUUGACAUUUGGAUUUUCUGGCAUUUGUUUCUAAGUAACUCCUUAUACAGCUGCAGUUGAUCAGUUCGAGCUCCAGCCUUGCGAGUGGACCAUUGUUAAGGCCAUAUAAGAGCUUUCUCUUGAGAAGAGGUUCUUCAAGACAGUUAUUGGAAGGAGGUGCCUGUUCGUAACGC
rnacentral:lncRNA from 1 species